CCUACGGGAGGCAGCAGUAGGGGAUAUUGGUCAAUGGGGGAAACCCUGAAGCAGCAACGCCGCGUGGAGGAUGAAGUUUUUCGGAUUGUAAACUCCUUUUGUUAGAGAAGAUAAUGACGGUAUCUCACGAAUAAGCACCGGCUAACACCGUGCCAGCAGCCGCGGUAAUACGGCGGGGGCAAGCGUUACUCGGAAGCACUGGGCGGAAAGAGCGCGUAGGCGGGAUAGCAAGUCAGAUGUGAAAUCCUAUGGCUUAACCAUAGAACUGCAUUUGAAACUGUGAUUCUAGAGUAUGGGAGAGGUAGGUGGAAUUCUUGGUGUAGGGGUAAAAUCCGUAGAGAUCAAGAGGAAUACUCAUUGCGAAGGCGACCUGCUAGAACAUAACUGACGCUGAUGCGCGAAAGCGUGGGGAGCAAACAGGAUUAGAUACCCCAGUAGUC
rnacentral:rRNA from 1 species